rnacentral:lncRNA from 1 species
ACGGUAGUGUGUGGGAGCGUGCGUGCAUAUUUUUUAUUUUUUAUUUAUUUAUUUCUUGGUAAGCUGAUUUUUUUUUUCUCCAUACAAUUUUUAUACAGACCAGACAGUAAGGUUUUUAGUUGGUGUACUGCUUGUCUGAGUUUGACAGCGGUGUCAUCUCUGUUGAUGACUUUAAAAUCAUUCAGUGUUGUCUUUUAUAAGAAUGUAGUGGGACACAAACUUGUUAAGUUAGAGGCCUUAAAAGUAGUUUGUGAACAUACCAUUUUAACCUUCAGUAGCAUCAGCAUGAGGUGUGUCCCAAAUGUCAUCCUCUAGAGCUCUACUUUUAUCCAGGGCCCAUAUGACUCAGGUCAAAAGUAGUACACUAUGUAGGGAAUAGGGUGCCAUUUGGAAGGCUAAUUGCAGGCAAGUAGUGCUCAAUGUUAUCAGCUCCAACUGAGGCAGGCUUGGAGAACAAGGGUGGAGGAGGGGGGUUGUAUCUAAUGAGAUUCAUUUUCCUCUCCUUCAUUAUCCCUGACCUGUAAACUAGGGGAGCCAUUGCCCUUAUACCAUCUGUUACGGAUACAAGUAUCCUGUGUGUGUAUCCUGUGUGUGUGUGUGUUUCUUUUCUCUCCUUCUCCCCUCACAGGUGAAAAUCAUCACUCCCCAAUCAGUCACCAACCCAAUCAUCAAUCAGAAGACACACCUCCUCCUAAUUCCAACCCAAUCACAGUUCCUUUCCCUUGGUUUAAAAACCCCAUCAGUUGUUUGCUCUAGAGCUCAAUCUCUCUGUAAGUGCCAUGUCUGUAGGUCACUCUCUCUUUGUGUAUUAACCGCUCUUGUUUGAGCACCUCCAUAGCACUUUGUCAUCACCUGUGAGUAUUGUUUUUGCUUAUGGUGUUUGCUGGUGGGAAAAGGGGAAACCAAGACAAGUCGCCCAUGGGCAUACACUACCCGUAGGUAGACUUUGUUAAAUACACUAGUUAGAACUGGGCGGACCACCCACUGUAUUUUUGGUUAGUUAGCUGUUGUUAAAGUAGGCUAGUCUAGCUUAGGUUUUUUUUUUAAUACUUAUUAUUUCUUUCCUUGGGUCCAGCUCAGCCCCUUUUCCUGCUCCCCCCAUUACCGUGUGUUUAUUAAUAAACCUUGAGUUUGACAGAUUUCAGUUGUCGUGGUUAUUUCGUUCACACUUUUACUUUGUCACUAUUAGAAUUUACAUGGGUUGUUACGGGUCUCAAUACCAUUCCCCCCCCCUAGACUGUCGGGCCAAAAAGGGAUUCGUAACA